CGAAGUGUGCUGUGCAACCACACGGCACUACUGAUGUUUCUUGCAUGAAGUCUGAGCCCCUCUGAGCCUUGUGACCUAAAUUGCAAGGCUGGUCUCAUGAAGCUGUUCUCAGAGCAAGAGUUAAGAAUUACUGCAGACAAUAAACUCCUUGAAUAACAGAGGACCUGGAAUGUUGUCUGUAACACAGAAGAUUCUUAAUAAAGGCCUGCCAACUUGAAGUGGACUUAACACACCUGCUCUUGCCAUAAGCACAUUGUUUUCAAGAGGAGAAGCUGGGAUCCAUGUCACUUAAGCAGUGUAUGGGCAAUGUCACAGCCAUGAAUGGAGGAAAGCCAGGGACUGAAUCCUAAUCCAGCCAGAGGGUGAUGAGAAAGAUGGACUUGGACUUCAAAGAAAUGAAAAAGCAUCAGAGAGAAGGAGAGACAGGGGUCUCAGAUACAGAGGCCACCGUGAAUCACAUCACCCAGCCCUGCAGUUGCCUUGCACCUCCUGCAUUAGCGGCACCAGUGAUGCGUGUCUGUCAUCUCCCCUGCCACGGUUUGCAUCCCUAGCCCAGCACCGGGAUGGAUGAAAGGGAUCAGAGUCCAAGAGGAGCCUGCUCUUCAAAAAUGCCUAGCGACAAACAGUCCUGGGAGGAUGGCCACAGGGAAAUGGAAGAGAAAACUGAAUUAUUCUGAUUUACCUUCUCUUGUUAAUCGGGUCCCUUUGCAACCACUAGAGACUUUCAGGAAAAAAAAUCAGCUUAUUUAUCUCCUUUCAUAUGGAAUGUAGGUUUUUGAGGUCUCAUUCUAUAUUCCUUAUGUAUCCUUAAAGAAAUACUCUAGAGAUAAGACCAGUUUCUGGAAGAGGUGGGGGUGAGUUAAAGAGAGGAGCAAAUUCUUCUCUGGCCCAAGAAAGAAAAUGCAGCUCAAUUUCUUUUCAGGACCCCAGGAAAAGUCCUCAUGUCCAGAAACUCAUCAGAUUCACUUUAUCUUUGUGAUCCUCUCUGAGUCUAUCUCUGCUAUUAAGGUUGUUGCUGCCCAAAGACUCCCCACACACAACUCACCGAAAGGGGCUGGUGAGAAUGUCAGGCCUGCCCCCGAUUCAGUAGCUCAGUGACUAGAACUAACUCUAAUUUCAAGGUUGAGGAUUUUAUAAUUUCAGAGGUUCCUGGGGCAACUGUUUCUGGAAAAUAAACAUCCUUGAGAGUAAACUGGAUUUCUUGGAUGAGUGCACUGUAUGGGUGCUGUGUCUUGGAACAGUCACCUCCUUUCGUCUUCUGCACACAGGAUAAGAUUUUACUCAUUUUUCAGUCUUGGUCAAGGGAGUAGAGGACAGAGUUUUAGUGAAGGAGGGAGCCUGCCUUAGGCAUGCAUUUGAGCCCCACUAUCCACUAUUUUUUUUUUUUUUUUUUUUUUUAUUGAGACUGAGUCUUGCUCUGUUGCCCAGGCUGGAGUGCAGUGGCACAAUCUCGUCUCACUGCAACCUCUGCCUCCCGGGUUCAAGAGAUUCACCUUCCUCAGCCUCCCGAGUAGCUGGGACUACAGGUGCCUGCCACCAGACCCAACUAAUUUUUUGUAUUUUUAGUAGAGAUGGGGUUUCACCACGUUGCUCAAGCUGGUCUCAAAAACUCCUGAUUUCAGGUGAUCUGCCCACCCCGGCCUCCCAAAGUGCUGGGAUUACAGACGAGAGCCACUGUGCACAGCCUAGCCCCACUCACUCUUGACUCUUCACAUCUUCUUGGUUUUUUAUUUUUUCUUGGUUCUUCAUAUUUCAUUUAUGAUUCUCUUGUACCUAAGUUUUGAUGACUAAUUAGGGUAGAGAAAAUGGAGACCAACAGAUAAAGGAAAGCCAACCUACACAUUCAUAAAGGUCCUUAGAGGGCCUGUGAAGUAUUUUUACUAUUUCAAACAUGAAAAAUAUGUGUUUAUUUGAGGAACAGUGCAACAGGUGAACUACAAUAUCUGUGUCUUUUUCCUUCAUUUGGAAUUGAAUUGGUUCAAAGUGGCAGUUCUGCUUAUCUGAAGCUGAUCAGAGCUGUGAUUGGCUAUGAUGUCAGCACUAUUUCUUUUUCCAUAACACUUUGAUCUUCUAAUAUGUUACAUUAUUUACUCAUUUAUGGUGUUAGUUGGAUUGUGUUAGUUCUCUUUCUAGAAUGGAAAUUCCAUGAGGAUGGGGGAUUUUCAAAUAUUUUGUUCCCUGUUAUAACCCAAGCCUCUAAAACAGUGUAGGAAGUACAAUAUUUAUUGUGAAAAACAACAAACAAAAUGAGUAUUUAUAGAAAGUUUGAAUUCAAGCCAGUAAUUUGUUGUAGAGUUCCUACCUUUUCUUUCUUUCUUUCUUUUUUUUUUUUUUUUUUUGAGAUGGAGUUUCACUCUUGUUGCCCAGGCUGGAGUGCAACGAUGUGAUAUUGGUUCACCACAACCUCCGCCUCCUGAGUUCAGGCAAUUCUCCUGCCUCAGCCUCCUGAGCAGCUGGGAUUACAGGCAUGUGCCACCACGCCCGGCUAAUUUUGUAUUUUUAGUAGUGCCCGGCUAAUUUUGUAUUUUUAGUAGAGACGGGGUUUCUCCAUGUUGGUCAGGCUGGUCUCAAACUCCCGACCUCAGGUGAUCCGCCUGCCUCGGCCUCCCAAAGUGCUGGGAUUACACAUGUAAGCCACCGUGCCCGGCCUAGAGUUCCUAUCUUAUCUACAUUCUCUUCUUGUCCCAGAAUGAAUGCAGAGAAUUUCAGGGGUUCUCCAAACCCCCUACCGACCUAGUUUAACUGUACUGGAUGACAAUAUCCGAGGAAGCCACUAAUAGAGAGAGAAGAAUGUCAUGGAAAGCAUACCAGCUGGGUCAUUGCAGCUCUUUCCCUGACUACCUGGUUGGUGACCCUGGGCAAAGUGCAUGUAUCUCCCAACCUCUAACGAAUGAUAAAAGUACCAACUUCACUGUAUCUUUGAGAGACUGAAACAAAGUAAUACAUGCCACAAGUGGUGAGCCUGUUGUUUGUCACAUAAUAAGCAUUCUACAAAUGUUAAUUUUUCUCUUCUAACUUUGAUAGGCAAUAAAACCAAGGGGGAAACAAGCUAUAAAGUGACGCAUUUUUCACAGCAAUAGCUCCUAGGGGGUAAGUAUUGUUUCUUUUGUGAGUUCUUAACAGUUUCUUACUUCUGAGUACUCAAAGAAACUAUAUCAUCACUAAAUAUUACUUUCCAGGCCAUUAACCUAUCUUAUCAGAGGCAAGUAAAAAAUAUUAUCAUUUGAUUAUUGACUUACUACAGCUACUAUUCACAUGUGUGUAGGGUACUUCCUUCUCCAAUUAGAUUAUAAAAGCUACCUGUAUUUUCCAUAGUGACUUAUAAUACUGCUUUGUGUGGACGUGGCCAAUAUAUUUUGUUCACAGGUUGUUUAAUGAAGAGUUUCUAACAUUUUAUUAAACGUCACAUGCUGUGCUUAAUGAAGAGAAGUUCCCCUAAAUCCCAAAGCAUAGAAUACAUCAGUCUUAUGCCUGAGCCCCAUCAUGGGAAUUCUGGGUCAGGUUUACAUGGGGAAGGCAGAGGCAUCCUGCUAUUCUGCACCUCUGGCAUGCCUGGGUCUCUAGAUUCACUGCUGCCAUAUCCCUGGGAGCUGGUGCCAAAGGACUGUCAGUAUGUCUGGGCACCUUCCCGAAUCUCAAACACAAGUGGAAAAACAUAGGCUCUUCUGGGGAUACAAUUGAUAGAUGACAUUAAGCAAAUUGCUUGGGAGUUGAUGACUAAACAAGGCCUCAAGGGUCCAGCCCAGGUAUAUGAAAGAGGACUUAGGAAGGUAACAGCCUAGACAUGAACACAUUUUUUCUCAGGUGUUAUCUUAGCCUCAUUUUCAAAAGAAUCACUCAGAGAGAUUUUUGAAACAUAGAUUCAUAUGUCCAGCCCUAGACCUGCUAAAUCAAGAUUUCUGUAUUUACAAAACAAAACAAAACAACAACAACAAAACCUUCUCAGAAGAUGUUGGUGCAGCGAAUCCAGUUCAUUAGCAAUAGAAUUACUAAAUUUUUCUACACCUAUUGUUGCCAAG
rnacentral:lncRNA from 1 species